AUGAAAUGGAAGACUUUGGCUGAGGUGACAGAUAUUAAUUGCCUCCAAACUGAGUUUCACUGUGAUUUUCAGGUUAAUUCAGUCAUAAUUCCACAGGCAGUCAGCUGGAGGGGUGGAUGAAUCCGGGAACAGCCGGUUUCCUUGCGACUAAAUCUAGCCCAAUAUCAUUAUGGAUUCUUGCAUGUCUUUGUCUAUUUUCUCAUUUUUCUUAUUUAUCAUGGUUUGUAAUGAAUUUGCUGAUGUGUUCUUUGGUUUUGAGGCUGCAAUAUGGAGUUCAGGGAACCUGAGGAAUGGUCUUUUUUAAUCAGGGCACAGCUGUUGCCUUGCUCCAAUUCCGGCUUGCUGUCAUUGGUUUGGGUGCCUCAGCCAAUUUGUCGUUUCCUCAGUGGCAAUUUCCUAAAUGUUUACUGGUUCUGAGUUGGUUUUGCCUUCUUCCUUCCCAAAUUUUGUAUUCUGAAGAAAUAUAAACAAGAGUUUAGACAGAGUAGCCAUUAUGAAAUUAAAAGCACAACAAAUAGGCGUUGGAAGCUUAGAAAUCUACAGGUAACACGACUAAGGUGAGUUUUUGUGUUUUGGAAAAUAAAAUGGAACACUUUGGCUGAGGUGACAGAUAUUAAUAGUCUCCAAACUGAGUUUCACUGCGAUUUUCAGGUUAAUUCAUUCAGAAGUCCACAGGCAGUCAGCUGGAAGGGUGGAUGGAUCUGGGAACAGCCGGUUUCGUUGUGACUGAAUCAAGCCCAAUAUCAUUAUGGAUUCUUGCAUUUCCUUGGCUAUUUUCUCAUUUUUCUUUUUAUCAUGGUUUGUAAUGAAUUUUCUGAUGUGAGCUUUGGUUUUGAUGCUGGCAUAUUGGGUUCAGGGCACAAGAGGAAGGUUCUUUUUCAAUCAGGGCACAGCUAUUGGUUUGCUACAAUUCUGUCUUGCUUUAAAGGUUUUGGGUGCCUCAGCGUUGUUGUUUUUUGAUCCACAUUUUCUGAAUGUUUUCUGGGUCUGAGUUGGUUUUGCCUUCUUCCUUCCCAAAUUUUCUGACGCAAUACAAACAAGAGUUUGGACAGAGUAGCCAUUAUGAAAUAAACAACACAACAUUACGCAUUUGAAGCUUAGAAAUCGAUAGGUAACACGACCAAGGUGAGUUUUUGUGUUUUAGAAAGUGUCAUGGAACACUUCUGCUGAGGGGACAAUUUCUAAUUCCCUCCAAAGUGAGUUUCACUGCGAUUUCCAGGUUAAUUCAGUCAGAAUACACAUUCACUCAGCUGGGAGGUGUGGAAGAAUCUGGAAACAGCAGUUUACAUGGGAAUAAAUGAAGCCCAAUAUCACUAAGAACUCCUGCAUUUCUUUGGCUUUUUUCUCAUUUUUCUUAUUUAUCAUGGUUUGUAAUGAAUUUUCUGAUGUGAGCUUUGGUUUUGAGGCUGGCAUAUUGAGUUCAGGGCACAAGAGGAAGGUUCUUUUUCAAUCAGGGCACAGCUGUUGGCUUGCUCCAAUUCUGGCUUGCUGUCCUUGUUUUGGGUGCCUCAGCUGACAUUUGGUUUCUUGAGCAGCAAUUUCCUAAAUGUUUUCUUGGUCGGAGUUGGUUUUGCCUUCUUCCUUCCCAAAUUUUGUAUUCUGACGCAAUAUAAACUAGAGUUUGGACAGAGUAGCCAUUAUGAAAUAAAAAACACAACACAUAGGCGUUUGAAGCUUAGAAAUCUACAGGUAACACGACCAAGGUGAGUUUUUGUGUUUUGGAAAAUAAAAUGGAACACUUUGGCUGAGGUGACAGAUAUUAAUUGCCUCCAAACUGAGUUUCACUGUGAUUUUCAGGUUAAUUCAGUGAGAAUUGCACAGGCAGUCACCUGGAGGGGUGGAUGAAUCCAGGACUAGCCGGAUUUCUUACGACUAAAUCAAGCCCAAUAUCAUUGUGGAUUCUUGCAUUUCUUUGGAUUUUUUCUCUUUUUUCUUAUUUAUCAUGGUUGGUAAUGAAUUUUUGAUGUGAGCUUUGGAUUUGAGGCUGCAAUAAGAACUUCCGGGCACAAGAGAAAUGUUCUUUUUCAAUCAGGGCACAGCUGUUGGCUUGCUCUAAUUGUGGCUUGCUGUCAUUGUUUUGGGUGCCUCAGCAAAUUUGAGGUUUCUUGAGUGGCAAUUUCCUAAAUGUUUUCUGGGUCUGACACGGUUUUUUCUUCUUAUUCCCAAAUUUUUUAUUCUGACUCAAUACAAACAAGAGUUUGGACAGAGUAGCCAUUAUGAAAUAAAAAACACAACAAAUAGGCGUUUGAAGCUUAGAAAUCUACAGGUAACACGACCAAGGUGAGUUUUUGUGUUUUGGAAAAUAAAAUGGAACACUUUGGCUCAGGUGACAUAUAUUAAUUGCCUCCAAACUGAGUUUCCCUGUGAUUUUCAGGUUAAUUCAGUGAGAAUUGCACAGGCAGUCACCUCGAGGGGUGGACGAAUCCAGGAAUAGCCGGAUUCCUUACAACUAAAUCAACCCCAAUAUCAUUAUGGAUUCUUGCAUUUCUUUGGCUUUUUUCUCAUUUUUGUUAUGUAUGAUGGUUUGUAAUGAAUUUUCUGAUGUGCGCUUUGUUUUUGAGGUUGGCAAUUGAGUUCAGGGCACAAGAGGAUGGUUCUUUUUCAAUCAGGGCACAGCUGUUGGCUUGCUCCAAUUCUGGCUUGCUGUCAUUGUUUUGGGUGCUUCAGCCGAUUUGUGGGUACUUGAGUGGUAAUUUACUAAAUGCUUUCUGGGUCUGAGUUGAUUUUGCCUUGUUAUUCCCAAAUUUUGUAUUCUGAUGCAAUACAAGCAAGAUUUUGGACAGAGUAGCCAUUAUGAAAAAAAAGAAAAUACGGCAAAUUGCCCUUUCAGGAUUCAAAAGCUACAGGGAACAAGACCAAGAUGAGUUUCUGUGUUUUGGAUAAUGACUUGGAACACUUCUGCUGAGGGGACAGAUUCUAAUUACCUUCCAAUUGAGUGUGAGUGCGAUUUUGAGGUGAAUUCCAUCAGAAUUCCAAAGUCAGUCUGUGGAAGGGGUUGAUGAAUCUGGAAACAGCCAGUUUCCUUGUGUCUAAAUCCAGCCAAAUAUCACAAAGGACUCUUGCAUUUAUUUGACUUUUUCACAUUUCCCUUAUUAUCAAGGUUUGUAAUGAAUAUUCUGAUGUGAGCUUUGGUUUUGAGACGGCAAUAUGGAGUUCAGGGCACCGGAAGAAUGGUCUUUUUAAAACAGGGCACAGCUGUUAGCUUGCUCCAAUUCUGGGUUGCUGUCAUUGGUUUUGGGGUUUCAGCUGACUAUUGGUUUUGAGCGGCAAUUUUCUAAAUUUUUUCUGGGUCUGAGUUAGUUUUGCCUUAUUCCUUCCCAAAUUUUGUAUUCUGACACAAUGCAACAAAUAGACAUUUACAGAUUAUAAAUCUGCUGGUAACACGCCAAUAUGAUUUUUUUUUGUUUUGGAAAAUAAAAUGGAACACUUUGGCUGAGGUGACAGAUAUUAAUUGCCUCCAAACUGAGUUUCACUGCGAUUUUCUGAUAAAUUCAGUCGGAAUUCCACAGGCAGUCAGCUGGAGCUGUGGAUGAAUCUGGGAACAGCCGAUUUCCUUGCGACUAAAUCAAGCCCAAUAUCAUUAUGGAUUCUUGCAUUUCCUUGGCUAUUUUCUCAUUUUUCUUAAUUUUAGUGGUUUGUAAUGAAUUUUCUGAUGUGAGCUUUGGUUUUGAGGCUGGCAUAUGGAGUUCAGGGCACAAGAGGAAGGUUCUUAUUCAAUCAGGUCACAGCUGUUGGCUUGCUCCAAUUCUGGCUUGCUGUCAUUGUUUUGGGUGCCUCCGCCGAUUUGAAGUUUCUUGAGCAUCAAUAUCCUAAAUGUUUUCUUGGUCUGAGUUGGUUUUACUUCUUCCUUCCCAAAUUUUGUAUUCUGACACAAUACAAACAAGAGUUUGGAAAGAGUAGCCAUUAGGAAAUAAAAAACACAACAAAUAGGCUUUUGAAGCUACAGGUAACACGACCAAGGUGAGAUUUUGUGUUUUGGAAAAUCAAAUGGAACAAGUUGGCUGUGGUGACAGAUAUUAACUGCCUCCGUUCAGGUUAAUUCAGUCAGAAUUCCACAGGCAGUCAGCUGGAGGGGUGGAUGAAUCCGGGAAUAGCCGGUUUCCUUGCAACUAAAUGAAGCCCAAUAUCAUUAUGGAUUCUUGCAUUUCUUUGGCUUUAUUCUGAUAUUUCUUAUUUAUCAUGGUUUGUAAUGAAUUUUCUGAUGUGAGCUUUGGUUUUGAGGCUGCAAUAUGGAGUUCAGGGCACCGGAGGAAUGGUCUUUUUCAAUCAGGGCACAGCUGCUGGCUUGCUCCAAUUCUGGCUUGCUGUCAUUGUUUUGGGUGCCUCCGCCGAUUUGAGGUUUCUUGAGUGGCAAUUUCCUAAAUGUUUUCUGAGUCUCAGUUGUUUUUGUCCUCUUACUUCCCAAAUUUUGUAUUCUGACGUAAUACAAGCAAGAUUUUGGACAGAAUAGACAUUAUGAAAUAAAAAACACAUCAAAUAGGCUUUUGAAAGCUACAGGUAACACGACCAAGGUGAGAUUUUGUGUUUUGGAAAAAGAUAUGGAACACUUUUACUGAGGUGACAGAUAUUAAUUGCCUCCAAACCGAGUUUCACAGCGAAUUUCAUUUUAAUUCUGUCAGAAACCACAGACACUCAGCUGGGAGGUAUAGAAGAAUCUGGAAACAGCCAUUAACAAGGGAAUAGAUCAAGCCCAAUAUCACUAAGAACUCCUGCAUUUCUUUGGAUUUUUUCUGAUUUUUCUUAUUUAUCAUGGUUUGUAAUGAAUUUUCUGAUGUGAGCUUUGGUUUUGAGGCUGCAAUAUCGAGUUCAGGACACCGGAGGAAUGGUCUUUUUCAAUCAGGGCACAGCUGUUGGCUUGCUCCAAUUCUGUCUUGCUUUCAAGGUUUUGGGUUCCUCAGCGGCCCUUUGUUUCUUGAGCGGCAAUUUCCUAAAUGUUUUCUGGGUCUGAGUUGGUUUUGCCUUCUUCCUUCCCAAAUUUUGUAAUCUGACGCAAUAGAAACAAAAGUUUGGGCAGAGUAGCCAUUAUGAAAUAAAAAACACAACAAAUAGGCGUUUGAAGCUUAGAAAUCUACAGGUAACACAACCAAGGUGAGUUUUUGUGUUUUGGAAAAUCAAAUGGAACACUUUGGCUGAGGUGACAGAUAUUAAUUGCCUCCAAACUGAGUUUCACUGGGAUUUUCAGGUUAAUUCAGUCAGAAUUCCACAGGCAGUCAGCUGGAGGGGUGGAUGAAUCCGGGAACAGCCCAUUUCCUUGCGACUGAAUCAAGCCCAAUGUCAUUAUGGAUUCUUGCGUUUCUUUGGCUUUUUUCUCAUUUUUCUUAUUUAUCAUGGUUUGUAAUGAAUUUUCUGAUGUCAGCUUUGGUUUUGAGGCUGUAAUAUGGCGUUCAGGGCACCAGAGGUAUGGUCUUUUUCAAACAGGGCACAGCUGUUGUGCUGCUCCAAUUCUGGCUUGCUGUCAUUGUUUUGAGUGCCUCAGCCGAUUUGUGGUUUCUUGAGCGGCAAUUUCCUAAAGGUUUUCUGGGUCUGAGUUGGUUUUGCCUUCUUCCUUCCCAAAUUUGUAUUCUGACGCAAUACAAACAAGAGUUUGGGCGGAGUAGCCAUUAUGAAAUAAAAAACACAACAAAAAGGCGUUUGAAGCUUAGAAAAAUACAGGUAACACGACCAAGGUGAGUUUUUGUGUUUUGGAAAAUAAAAUGGAACACUUUGUUGAGGUCACAGAUAUUAAUAGCCUCCAAACUGAGUUUCACUGCGAUUUUCAGGUGAAUUCAGUCAGAAGUCCACAGGCAGUCAGCUGGAGGUGUGGAUGAAUCCGGGAACAGCCGGUUUCCUUGCGACUAAAUCAAGCCCAAUAUCAUUCUUGAUUCUUGCAUU